rnacentral:rRNA from 1 species
GACGAACGCUGGCGGCGUGCUUAACACAUGCAAGUCGAACGGAAAGGCCCUGCUUUUGUGGGGUGCUCGAGUGGCGAACGGGUGGGUAACACGUGAGUAACCUGCCCUUGACUUUGGGAUAACUUCAGGAAACUGGGGCUAAUACCGGAUAGGAGCUCCUGCUGCAUGGUGGGGGUUGGAAAGUUUCGGCGGUUGGGGAUGGACUCGCGGCUUAUCAGCUUGUUGGUGGGGUAGUGGCUUACCAAGGCUUUGACGGGUAGCCGGCCUGAGAGGGUGACCGGCCACAUUGGGACUGAGAUACGGCCCAGACUCCUACGGGAGGCAGCAGUGGGGAAUAUUGCACAAUGGGCGGAAGCCUGGUGCAGCAACGCCGCGUGCGGGAUGACGGCCUUCGGGUUGUAAACCGCUUUCGCCUGUGACGAAGCGUGAGUGACGGUAAUGGGUAAAGAAGCACCGGCUAACUACGUG